GGGCUGAGGGGAGUGCAAGGCAGUGUGGCUUGGGUAGUGUGGAGUCCCUGCAGGGUGAGGAAAAAGAAUCAGAGGUUCCUCACCAGGAUUCUGCUCCAUCCCACGCUGUCUGGCGCACCCUCCCCGCUGCUUUUCUCAUACCACCACCACCACCUUAUAGCAGAAACCAAGAAGAUUCAGACAACGAGCAACGGUGGCUUUUAUGUAAUUUAUUCAGUGUCUUCGCUGAGCCCAGGGCCUCAGCACAAUCAAGAGGGACUUUCACAGAAGGCAAAGAGAAACACAGAGGAAAAUCAAAGAUAUCAGAGGUUGCAACCUAUGGAUCUAGGUACAAGAGAAGGGUUAGUUCCCACAAUCUUUGCAAAAAAAAACAAAAGUUGCAUCAGGAUUUAUUCUUGUGGAAGAAAGAGGAAUAGAGGGUGUUGGGGGGGGGAGGGGAAUAAUAAUUAAAGAAAAAAAAAGAGUUCUUGGGACUUUUUUAAUUCAAAAUUUUAUAGAGGGGCAAAAGUGACGUUUACCAGAUAGAAUGCUGAUUUUUUUAAUAUAUUUACAACAGUAUUUGUGUAAAAAAAAAAGCAAAAAAAAGUGAGAUUGUUAAAAGUAAUUUUUCUUUGUUUUCUUUUUUUUUGUUUUGCGUACACUGCCACUAAUAUCUUCUCUUUUAUUAUAUAUAUGAAUCUAUAUAUAAAUAUAUAUUUUAUUUUAAAUUGAGACUGUUAAGGUUAGCUAACCUGCUUCCAGAUAGAAGGGGGGAGGGGAGAUGAUCUUGAUUUUUAUUUUAAAAAAAAAGAGGAAGGUUGUUUCUUAAUUUUAAUUUUUUUUUUUUCCUAGUAUUAUUUUCUCUCUCUCUUUUCUAAUGGAAUCAAGAAUUACCUGGGUCGAUGAGGGGCUCUGUGAGGUCAUCUGUGAGAUUAUCUACUAGAGUUUGUGCAUCCUGCAGUAUCAUUCGAACUGCUACUUUGUUUUUGAAUUACCUGGUUCUCUUUUUGGCUCUUACCAAGGUUCUGUUGUUUCUUUCUUUGGUUCCAUCUCAGACUUUAUUUCUGCUGAAGGGCGGUUCCUUUUGAGAAAGAGAUUUUCCUAGCAAUGUUCCUAUGGUUUUAGGGAUGAUAGAAUCUGUAGUCUUUUCUUUCUUCUUUGAAAAAGUAAUGAAAGUUUUGAAGGUGUGUAAUAACUAGGAAUUCCCUUCUUUUUGGUCACUGGACGAGAAUUAAUCUGCUGUAUUGUUUUCUCAUCCCUGCCUUGCUCGCUAGAGAGCUUCCGUAUUUGUGUGAGAAUCUGAUCCUGCCCCUGGUAAUUUGUGCUGAUGCCAAAAUAGCUUCAAAUGUUACCAUUGCAAAUAAUCUCCCCUUCGUCAUUUGCAAAAACAUGUAACUGAAGGGCCACAUCCCACAUUCUCUGCAUAUGCAAAGCUAUGCAAGGAAUGUAGGAUCAGUGUGAAAGAUUGAUUCCUGAUCUGCAUAUAUAUGUUUGUGUUUUGUAUUUUGUUUUAUUGUGUUUGGGCUGGUGUUCUCCCUGGUCGUCUUCUGUGUAUCUGUGUAAGAAUUUUUCCCCCAAAGCCAACUCCCAAAGUACGUGGGUCCUUAGUUCAGUUGGAUCAGUGUCUGACACUAUCUUUGUCUUGCUUGAAAUCCAUAGCUAGGACUUGCACCAGCUGCACUCUGGACUUUAUAUUUUAGGCAGAGAAGAAGCACCUAACAAAAAUAUGCAAAAAGGAGAAAAAAAAAAA
ensembl:lncRNA